rnacentral:ncRNA from 1 species
CUAUCGGCUUUUGACGAAAGAGUAGUAGUAAACUUCCUGUUAGAUAGAAAGACUUGGGUUGAUGGAACAAGUUUAACACGGUUUAUGAAUUCGCUUUCCGAGCUCCUAUUAAUAGUAGGCGGUUUUUCCCGUUAUCCAAAAAGAGGUCAUAGUUUUUUAUGAUAAAAUAAGGUGGUACCACGAAAGCAUUUCGUCCUUUGG